rnacentral:ncRNA from 1 species
GGGUGUGUUGAAAGAAGAGAUGGUUGGCAUCUCUUGGGAUAGGGAUGGAAACAGCCUUUGGUCAUACGACUCUUACCUGUUACUGCACAUACUGUCAACCAAAAGGUGUAAGAAGGACCCAACACCAGGCUAUUGUGUUUU